AUGAGAGGAACUCCUGUCUUUGUCUCCUUUCCAAUUCUAUUGCAGGGUGUGCUGGGUGCAUCACGUAACUGGGAUGUGGGUGUAUCCUUUCCUGGAACACAUUGGCCCAGGAGCCAGAAUCAUCUUCUUUGGGUCUACAACCAUCUUAAUGAACUUUUUGUACCUGCUGGGAGAAGUUCUGAACAGCUAUAUCUGGGAUACACAGAGAAGUAUGGAAGAAGAGAAAGAGAAGCCUAAAUUGGAAUGAGAGCUAAGUCUAAAUGAAAGAGCUGGAUUGAGCCACCAUUGAGGACUCUUACCCCCUGGGCAUUGGCAAUACAGGAGAGGAAGCGGCAAAGAAAGCAGUGGGAUUCACCUCGGCCUCUCUGCCCCAGAGUGGGGGGCACCUUUACAGAGAAGCUUAUAUAAGAAUAGGAUACAGUUAUUUCCAAAAUAACUUGCUCUCAUUAUGUUUUAAAGAAGACUUUCCAAAGUCAUUACUGAUAAUAACAUCUUUUUUUUUCCUCUUCUAGUUUUUAAAACUAAAAUUGGUCAUUGGAUUUUAAUUUUUGCAAUUGUGAUUCCAUUUAAUUGAGGAAGAAUACAACUCGGUUGUGUUUCUUGUUGAGAAAUACGUGAAAAUCAAAGGGAUAGAUGUAAAGCAAGGCAUUUGCGUAUUGAGUCCUGCAGGUGGCUGGAUAAGGACCCUGGACCACAGGGCAAGUCUGGAGGAAAUAUGCUGGAUGUUCUGUAUUGCAAUAAUGUCACCAUUGCCUCAAACAGGCAAUGUUAGUAAUAAUCACAUGAAGUUAGUCAAAACCUAAGUGUAUCUGGAUCUCAUGACUUAAUCUUGUGAAACUUUUCAUAUAUGCAAACAAACUUUAAUAAAGACCAAGUAACCCCAAUCUGAUGCA
rnacentral:lncRNA from 1 species